GACGAACGCUGGCGGCGUGCUUAACACAUGCAAGUCGAACGGAAAGGCCCUGCUUUUGUGGGGUGCUCGAGUGGCGAACGGGUGAGUAACACGUGAGUAACCUGCCCUUGACUUUGGGAUAACUUCAGGAAACUGGGGCUAAUACCGGAUAGGAGCUCCUGCUGCAUGGUGGGGGUUGGAAAGUUUCGGCGGUUGGGGAUGGUCUCGCGGCUUAUCAGCUUGUUGGGGGGGUAGUGGCUUACCAAGGCUUUGACGGGUAGCCGGCCUGGGAGGGUGACCGGCCACAUUGGGACUGAGAUACGGCCCAGACUCCUACGGGAGGCAGCAGUGGAGAAUAUUGCACAAUGGGCGGAAGCCUGAUGCAGCAACGCCGCGUGCGGGAUGACGGCCUUCGGGUUGUAAACCGCUUUCGCCUGUGACGAAGCGUGAGUGACGGUAAUGGGUAAAGAAGCACCGGCUAACUACGUG
rnacentral:rRNA from 1 species